rnacentral:rRNA from 1 species
GCCUAACACAUGCAAGUCGAGCGGUAGCACAGAGAGCUUGCUCUCGGGUGACGAGCGGCGGACGGGUGAGUAAUGUCUGGGAAACUGCCUGAUGGAGGGGGAUAACUACUGGAAACGGUAGCUAAUACCGCAUAACGUCGCAAGACCAAAGUGGGGGACCUUCGGGCCUCAUGCCAUCAGAUGUGCCCAGAUGGGAUUAGCUAGUAGGUGGGGUAAUGGCUCACCUAGGCGACGAUCCCUAGCUGGUCUGAGAGGAUGACCAGCCACACUGGAACUGAGACACGGUCCAGACUCCUACGGGAGGCAGCAGUGGGGAAUAUUGCACAAUGGGCGCAAGCCUGAUGCAGCCAUGCCGCGUGUGUGAAGAAGGCCUUCGGGUUGUAAAGCACUUUCAGCGGGGAGGAAGGCGAUAAGGUUAAUAACCUUGUCGAUUGACGUUACCCGCAGAAGAAGCACCGGCUAACUCCGUGCCAGCAGCCGCGGUAAUACGGAGGGUGCAAGCGUUAAUCGGAAUUACUGGGCGUAAAGCGCACGCAGGCGGUCUGUCAAGUCGGAUGUGAAAUCCCCGGGCUUAACCUGGGAACUGCAUUCGAAACUGGCAGGCUAGAGUCUUGUAGAGGGGGGUAGAAUUCCAGGUGUAGCGGUGAAAUGCGUAGAGAUCUGGAGGAAUACCGGUGGCGAAGGCGGCCCCCUGGACAAAGACUGACGCUCAGGUGCGAAAGCGUGGGGAGCAAACAGGAUUGGAUACCCUGGUAGUCCACGCCGUAAACGAUGUCGAUUUGGAGGUUGUGCCCUUGAGGCGUGGCUUCCGGAGCUAACGCGUUAAAUCGACCGCCUGGGGAGUACGGCCGCAAGGUUAAAACUCAAAUGAAUUGACGGGGGCCCGCACAAGCGGUGGAGCAUGUGGUUUAAUUCGAUGCAACGCGAAGAACCUUACCUGGUCUUGACAUCCACAGAACUUUCCAGAGAUGGAUUGGUGCCUUCGGGAACUGUGAGACAGGUGCUGCAUGGCUGUCGUCAGCUCGUGUUGUGAAAUGUUGGGUUAAGUCCCGCAACGAGCGCAACCCUUAUCCUUUGUUGCCAGCGGUCCGGCCGGGAACUCAAAGGAGACUGCCAGUGAUAAACUGGAGGAAGGUGGGGAUGACGUCAAGUCAUCAUGGCCCUUACGACCAGGGCUACACACGUGCUACAAUGGCAUAUACAAAGAGAAGCGACCUCGCGAGAGCAAGCGGACCUCAUAAAGUAUGUCGUAGUCCGGAUUGGAGUCUGCAACUCGACUCCAUGAAGUCGGAAUCGCUAGUAAUCGUAGAUCAGAAUGCUACGGUGAAUACGUUCCCGGGCCUUGUACACACCGCCCGUCACACCAUGGGAGUGGGUUGCAAAAGAAGUAGGUAGCUUAACCUUCGGGAGGGCGCUUACCACUUUGUGAUUCAUGACUGGGGUGAA